CCUGGCAGUGAUGCCACCCUUGCCCUCACUGAGAACUCUGUUCUGUAAUGAGCCUCUCCUAACAGCUGAGCCAGG
ensembl:snoRNA